rnacentral:lncRNA from 1 species
ACUGUAUAUCCACAUGCAAAAACAAAUGAAAUUAGAUUCAUUUCUAACAUUACACAAAAAAAUAAUUAAAAACAGAUUUAAGACAAAUGCAAUUCCUAAAAGCGUCAAACUUGUAGAGGCAAACAUAGGGAAGAUGUUAUUGUUACAACAAUGAUUUUUUUUUACAUUUCCUUUUUUAAUUGACAUCUAAGAAUUAUACAUAUUUGUAGGAUGCUGUCAUGUGAAGACUCAAGGAAACAGAUUUGGGGUCUGACAGGUGGAAGAAUAUGCAAGACACAGGAUUGUAGAAUUCUUUUUUCAGAGGUGAUGACAGCCUUCAGCCUCCAGGUUCAGCUUCAACCCUCAGCCAGUUCCACUUUAGUCCCUUAUUAACCCCCAGGGCUGUCCAGCAGAACUCAUUGGCACUUCAGAGCAUACCAUACCCAGAAGGCAGAGGUGUUUGCUAUUCUGGCGUAGGUGCGUGCCCAGUUCACAAUGGUAUUGGUGAGGAAAUGCCUACAGAUGAAAGGACAAAGCAAUUACAGGUAUUAGUACAAGUAAAGCACAUCCAUCCAAGAGAAUGCAUGCCAUCUCUGAGUCCCAGGAAAUCACAGGGGCCACCUGUGGCCCCUCCACAGCACAACUGUCAGUACAUAUAACUAUGGGGGAUGCUUCUUUUGCUAUCACCAUUCAGCUCAGCUCACUGACUUGUUUGUCUUGUACUGCUAUCAAACCAGUCAGCAUCUAUUUCUGACUUUACAGCCAGUGCCUUCCACACAAGCAGUUUUCCACAGCUGGUCAUCAGUGUACGAAACACUGAACAGUAUAGGUGCCUUACCUGCAAGAAUCAGAGCC